UCUUUCCGAAUCCUAUCGUGCGAGUCGAGCGGUCGACAAGAGCGUGCUUUACCUUUCCGAGUAGGUCGGGUGAGAAAAGCUCAUCUGUUUGCCUGGUAGUGGGGGACAACGGCUUUUAGGAACGCUAAUACUGCGUACUUACUAUGGGAUAAAAAAGGUGAUCUUCCGGCCUUGCGCUAUUGAUAGGCAUAACUUCGAAUUAGCUAGGUUGUGAGAAGAGAAUCACCAAGGCGGCGGUCCGUCACUCUUUUGUAAGGAUGUCACCCCCACUCAAUCUGAGCCAUGAUCAACCUCACAACC
rnacentral:rRNA from 1 species